UAGAUUUAAACAUGUAUUUAUUAUUAUUAAAAUAUUAACCUAGAAAACAGCCUAUAAACACUAUUUACAUGAUAGCUAGCAGUAACGUUGGUUUUAGAGUCUAGAACCAUUAAAAACAGACACUUAUUUUCCAGUAGUGAUUGUUGUUGUUUUUGCCGCUGAGGGAAAACGGUUGAAUCUUUGGGGGGGGCAUUGUAAGACCAUGGUAAAGCAAUCCAUCCAUAUUUUAGAUAGCGUUUGCUUGUGAUAAAACAGACAGUCCUACUAUACACGUUUUCCUGAGCUGAGAGACUAAACCGAUAACAUGGAAGUGAUGAGGUACGUAAUCAUGUUUGGAUUUUACACUGGUCUGGACUGUUUCUAGUACAUUUAAUUAUUGAUGAGCGCAGCCAAUUCUCAUUGUUCCAGUUGGUUGCUUGAUAGUCUUUACUCAAGCUGGGGCUACAACAGGCCAAUCUCUGGACAACAUGGGUCAUCCUACAACAGGGGUCAUCCAACAGGCCAAUCUCUGGACAACAGGGGUCAUCCUACAACAGGGGUCAUCCUACAACAGGGAUCAUCCUACAACAGGGGUCAUCCAACAGGCCAAUCUCUGGACAACAGGGGUCAACAGGGGUCAUCCUACAACAGGGGUCAUCCUACAACAGGGGUCAUCCUACAACAGGGGUCAUCCUACAACAGGGGUCAUCCUACAACAGGGGUCAUCCUACAACAGGGGUCAUCCUACAACAGGGGUCAUCUUACAACAGGGGUCAUCUAAGUGUGUUUUAUUUCUCAUGUUUUUAUUUUCUUAUUUUAUCUCCGCAUCAUUGAGGAAAAAGCUUGUAAGUCAGUCAGCAUUUCACUGUGAGGUCUACACCUGUUGGUUAAGGGCUGGUCAGUCAGCAUUUCACUGUGAGGUCUACACCUGUUGGUUAAGGGCUGGUCAGUCAUCAUUUCACUGUGAGGUCUACACCUGUUGGUUAAGGGCUGGUCAGUCAGCAUUUCACUGUGAGGUCUACACCUGUUGGUUAAGGGCUGGUCAGUCAGCA
ensembl:lncRNA